CACACACAUAAGGACUCAAAUCAAAUGUUAUUUGUCACAUGGUAAACAACAGGUGUAGACUAACAAUGAAAUGCUGACUGACGGGCCCUUCCCAACAAUGUAGAGAGAAAAAUAUAGAAAAGAUAAUAACACAAGGAAUAACGAUAACUUGGCUGUAUACACAAGGUACCAGUACUGAGUUGAUGUGCAGGGGUACGAGGUACCAGUACUGAGUUGAUGUGCAGGGGUACGAGGUACCAGUACUGAGUUGAUGUGCAGGGGUACGAGGUAAUGACUUGACUAUAUACACGAGGUACCAGUACUGAGUUGAUGUGCAGGGGUACGAGGUACCAGUACUGAGUUGAUGUGCAGGGGUACGAGGUACCAGUACUGAGUUGAUGUGCAGGGGUACGAGGUAAUGACUUGACUAUAUACACGAGGUACCAGUACUGAGUUGAUGUGCAGGGGUACGAGGUAAUAACUUGACUAUAUACACGAGGUACCAGUACUGAGUUGAUGUGCAGGGGUACGAGGUAAUAACUUGACUAUAUACACGAGGUACCAGUACUGAGUUGAUGUGCAGGGGUACGAGGUAAUAACUUGGCUGUAUACACAAGGUACCAGUACUGAGUUGAUGUGCAGGGGUACGAGGUAAUAACUUGACUAUAUACACGAGGUACCAGUACUGAGUUGAUGUGCAGGGGUACGAGGUAAUAACUUGGCUGUAUACACAAGGUACCAGUACUGAGUUGAUGUGCAGGGGUACGAGGUAAUAACUUGACUAUAUACACGAGGUACCAGUACUGAGUUGAUGUGCAGGGGUACGAGGUAAUAACUUGACUAUAUACACGAGGUACCAGUACUGAGUUGAUGUGCAGGGGUACGAGGUAAUAACUUGACUAUAUACACGAGGUACCAGUACUGAGUUGAUGUGCAGGGGUACGAGGUAAUAACUUGACUAUAUACACGAGGUACCAGUACUGAGUUGAUGUGCAGGGGUACGAGGUAAUAACUUGACUAUAUACACGAGGUACCAGUACUGAGUUGAUGUGCAGGGGUACGAGGUAAUAACUUGACUAUAUACACGAGGUACCAGUACUGAGUUGAUGUGCAGGGGUACGAGGUAAUAACUUGACUAUAUACACGAGGUACCAGUACUGAGUUGAUGUGCAGGGGUACGAGGUAAUAACUUGACUAUAUACACGAGGUACCAGUACUGAGUUGAUGUGCAGGGGUACGAGGUAAUAACUUGACUAUAUACACGAGGUACCAGUACUGAGUUGAUGUGCAGGGGUACGAGGUAAUAACUUGACUAUAUACACGAGGUAC